GUCUUGUAAGCUAUUUUUCUUUUUUUCAGCAAAAUGUUGUGAGCACCUACCAUAUGCCAGGCACUGUUCAGUGAACUGGUUGUACAGGAGUGAAUGAGAUCAUCUUGAUUUUGAGAAGUUUAUAAUCUACUCAAGGGAAACACGUGUAAUCAACUAUGUUUCAGACAUAACCCCUCAAAACCAAAGCAGAACCUCUUCAAGGAGCUGAGAGAUGCAAGCCUGGAGGAGAAAAGCGGGGCAGCAUCAAACCCCUCCCACUGGGGCAACCUGCUGAGCAUCUCCCUGGCCUUGGCCCCUGGCCAUACCACACAAGUGUCCAAUGAGUCACUGAUCCUGAAGAACAAGAGAAGACUGACCACAGACCCCAAAAGGAAGCAGGAGUACAACCUUCGAAGUUGGUGGGCAACAAGAGGUCAGAGGUUGACAAGCAUCCACACAGCUCUAAGACUAGCAUCAUGUGGCUACCCAGGACCUGGGAGAGUGCUGCAGAGCAGGAGCAGGAAAGGGACCGGCUGUUCCCAUAGAACUUCAUGUCACAGGUCUGGGAGCCAGGGGGCCUUGGUUCUAGUCCCAACUCUCCCUCUAAGUUGUCUUAUGGCCACAGGUGAGUGAAAUAGCUUCUCUGGCCUCAGCUUCCUCACGAUUAAAAUGACACAGUUGUGCAAAA
rnacentral:lncRNA from 1 species